rnacentral:rRNA from 1 species
AGAGUUUGAUCCUGGCUCAGGAUGAACGCUAGCGGCGUGCCUAAUGCAUGCAAGUCGAACGGGAUCCUUUUGAAUUUAUUCUUAAGGUGAGAGUGGCGAACGGGUGAGUAACACGUUGGUGACCUGCCCCAGAGAGGGGGAUAACCAUUGGAAACGAUGGCUAAUACCCCAGAUGUCAUUACUGUUAGAGAGUAAUGACUAAAGUUCCGACGCUCUGGGAGGGGCCUGCGGCCCAUCAGCUAGUUGGUAGGGUAACGGCCUACCAAGGCGACGACGGGUAGGGGACGUGAGAGCGUGACCCCCCACACUGGUACUGAAACACGGACCAGAUACCUACGGGUAGCAGCAGCAAGGAAUAUUGCCCAAUGGACGAAAGUCUGAGGCAGCAACGCCGCGUGGAGGAAGAAGGCCUUCGGGUUGUAAACUCCUUUUCUGGGGGAAGAGAAAGGACGGUACCCCAGGAAUAAGUCUCGGCUAACUACGUGCCAGCAGCCGCGGUAAAACGUAGGAGGCGAGCGUUAUCCGGAUUUACUGGGCGUAAAGCGCGUGCAGGCGGUUUUCUAAGUCGGACGUGAAAGCUCCCGGCUCAACUGGGAGAGGUCGUUCGAAACUAGAAGACUUGAGGGUGGUAGAGGAGAGUGGAAUUCCCGGUGUAGUGGUGAAAUGCGUAGAUAUCGGGAGGAACACCAGUGGCGAAGGCGGCUCUCUGGGCCACUCCUGACGCUAAGACGCGAAAGCUAGGGGAGAAAACGGGAUUAGAAACCCCGGUAUUCCUAGCCGUAAACGAUGUCAACUAUGUGUAGGGGGUAUCCAACCCCCCUGUGCUGCAGCAAACGCGGUAAGUUGACCGCCUGGGGACUACGGCCGCAAGGCUAAAACUCAAGGAAUUGACGGGGACCCGCACAAGCAGCGGAGCGUGUGGUUAAUUCGAGGCUACGCGAAGAACCUUACCAGGGUUUGACAUGCGUGGCAGAAAGCGAAAGCUGACCGACCCUCGGGAGCGUCACAGUGCUGCAUGCUGUCGUCAGCUCUGCUGAGGUGUAGUAGUCUGUACGAGCGCACCUCGUCGUAGUUAUACUGUCUACGGACUGCCGUGAUAGCGAGAGUUGAGGAUGACGUCAGGUCACAUGCCUUUAUUCUGGGCUACCAC